rnacentral:rRNA from 1 species
UACGUAGGGUGCAAGCGUUAUCCGGAAUUAUUGGGCGUAAAGAGCUCGUAGGCGGUUUGUCGCGUCUGCUGUGAAAACUGGAGGCUCAACCUCCAGCCUGCAGUGGGUACGGGCAAACUAGAGUGCGGUAGGGGAGAUUGGAAUUCCUGGUGUAGCGGUGGAAUGCGCCGAUAUCAGGAGGAACACCGAUGGCGAAGGCAGAUCUCUGGGCCGGUACUGACGCUGAGGAGCGAAAGCGUGGGGGAGCAAACAGG